GUUCUAGUGCCUAGAGUGUCCCUUUAUUAUUGCUUGUACAAGUCAAGUCAAGGAGUUGUUUGUGGUGCCCAUUCUGCACUUGCUCUGUCACAAAUAUUUUGGGGUAUUAAUUAAAUAGUAAAAAAGAGUUUUCAAGUUCUAAAUUUGCUAUAUUUUCGAUGGUCCAUUAAAGUGUCACUAACUCCUUAUGAUGGGAUUGUGGUCUUGAAUGUUGAGUGUCGGUAGAAAUUGCUUUUGAAAAUUAUUAAAAUUGUGGAACUAUGAUUGCUUCGAUAUUCCUAACUCCUCAUUAUCAG